rnacentral:rRNA from 1 species
CCUACGGGUGGCAGCAGUGGGGAAUAUUGCUCAAUGGGCGCAAGCCUGAAGCAGCCAUGCCGCGUGUAGGAUGAAGGCCUUAGGGUUGUUAACCACUUUUGUUAGAGAAGAUUAUGAUGGUAUUUAUCGCCUUAUCACUGGAUAUUUCCGUGCCAGCAGCCGCGGUAAUACGGCGGGUGCAAGCGUUACUCGGAAUAACUGGGCGUAAAGGGGGCGUAGGCGGUGUAAUAAGUCAGAUGUGAAAUCCUUGGGCUAAACAAGAGAACUGCAUUUGAAACUGGCAGUCUGGAGUGUUGGAGAGGUAGGUGGAAUUCUUGGUGUAGGGGUGAAAUGCGUAGAGAUCAAGAGGAAUACUGAUUGCGAAGGCGACCGACUGGACCAUGACUGACGCUGAUGCACGAAAGCGUGGGGAGCAAACAGGAUUAGAUACCCGUGUAGUC